GUCCUUUUGUAUUAAAUUUAAGGUCUAACCUGCCCACUGAUUUUUAAAUGGCCGCAGUACUCUAACUGUGCAAAGGUAGCAUAAUAAUUAGUCUUUUAAUUGAAGGCUUGUAUGAAUGGUUGGACGAAAUAUUAACUGUUUCAUUUAAAUUUAGAGUAGAAUUUUAUUUUUCAGUCAAAAAGCUGAAAUUUUUUUAAAAGACGAGAAGACCCUAUAAAUCUUUACAUAUAGAUUUAAUUAUUUUAAGAAGAAUAUUAUAAAAUAUUUAAAUUUCUGUGUUUUAUUGGGGUGAUAUUAAAAUUUAAAAAACUUUUAAUUUAAAAAUUCAUUAAUGUAUGAUUUUUUGAUCCGUUUAAACGAUUAAUAAAUUAAGUUACUUUAGGGAUAACAGCGUAAUUCUUUUGGAGAGUUCAUAUCGAUAAAAGAGAUUGCGACCUCGAUGUUGGAUUAAGGAAUAAUUUUAGAUGCAGCAGUCUAAAUGAUAAGUCUGUUCGACUUUUAAACCCUU
rnacentral:rRNA from 1 species